GGUGAACGCUGGCGGCGUGCCUAAUACAUGCAAGUCGAACGGAGUGGCGCACGGGUGAGUAAUAUCUAGCUAAUCUGCCCCUUGCUGGAGGAAAACAGUUAGAAAUGACUGCUAAUACUCCAUAGCAAGGGAUGAGACUAUAUCGUAUCAGCUAGUCGGUGGGGUAACGGCCUACCGAGGCUAUGACGCGUAACUGGUCUGUGGGGAUGAUCAGUCACAUUGGAACUGAGACACGGUCCGAACGCCUACGGGAAGGGGCAGUAGGGAGUAUUGCGCAAUGGGGGAGACCCUGACGCAUCAACGCCGCGUGGAGGAUGACACUUUGCGGAGCGUAAACUCCUUUUGUUAGGGAAGCGGUACCUAACGAAUAAGCACCGGCUAACUCCGUGCCAGCAGCCGCGGUAAUUC
rnacentral:rRNA from 1 species